AUACGGAGGGAGCGAGCGUUAAUCGGAAUUACUGGGCGUAAAGCGCGCGUAGGCGGCUUUGUAAGUCGGAUGUGAAAGCCCUGGGCUCAACCUGGGAAUGGCAUUCGAUACUGCAGAGCUAGAGUAUGGUAGAGGGAAGUGGAAUUUCCGGUGUAGCGGUGAAAUGCGUAGAUAUCGGAAGGAACACCAGUGGCGAAGGCGACUUCCUGGGCCAAUACUGACGCUGAGGUGCGAAAGCGUGGGGAGCAAACAGGAUUAGAAACCCCGGUAGUCC
rnacentral:rRNA from 1 species